CCCUUAGAUGUUCUGGGCCGCACGCGCGCUACACUGAUGCAUUCAUCAAGCUAUUAUUUUUUUUUCCUUGGCUGACAAGCCUGGGUAAACUUUUGAAAGUGCAUCGUGCUGGGGAUAGAUCAUUGUAAUUAUUGAUCUUCAACGAGGAAUUCCUAGUAAACGCAAGUCAUCAGCUUGCAUUGAUUACGUCCCUGCCCUUUGUACACACCGCCCGUCGCUACUACCGAUUGAAUGGUUUAGUGAGUUGCAUAGACUGGUAUUAGAAGGUUUUUUUACCUUCUGAUUGCUAGGAAGUGCUGCAAACUUGACUAUUUAGAGGAAGUAAAAGUCGUAACA
rnacentral:rRNA from 1 species